rnacentral:rRNA from 1 species
UACGUAGGGGGCUAGCGUUGUCCGGAAUCAUUGGGCGUAAAGAGCGUGUAGGCGGCCCGGUAAGUCCGCUGUAAAAGUCAAAGGCUCAACCUUUGAAUGUCAGUGGAUACUGCCGGGCUAGAGUCCGGAAGAGGCGAGUGGAAUUCCCGGUGUAGCGGUGAAAUGCGUAGAGAUCGGGAGGAACAUCAGUGGCGAAGGCGGCCAUCUGGGACAACACUGACGCUGAAGCACGAAAGCGUGGGGAGCAAACAGG